rnacentral:lncRNA from 1 species
UUUUCUACAAAAGUAAAGAUUUGCAAAUUCUUAUAUGCAUAUAUGGCCAUGGCCUGUUUGUUCCAUUGCUAGUUGAAUUCUGAAAAUCUUUUAAUCUCUUGAAGUCCCAUUUUGACAUGUGCCUCUGCAACUAGCGGUGGGAGAAAACAUAACAUACAACUAACAUAUGUUUGUUGUAUUUGUUUUUAAGAUCAAAGAUUUUCCAAUAAAUUUUGAAAGAGGUAAAAUGGUUAUUACCUAACCUUUUCAUGUUAUUGUUCUCCAUGCACAUAUAAGGGAAAAUACUUAAAUAUCCACGAGACAACGAUCAAACAACAUAUGACUACGAAAAUCGAAAUCCAGAUCUAUGUACAUGUUAUUUAUACAAACACUUAUCAAAACAAUGGUUGAUUUUAAACGUCGGUAUAAUUCAUUGUAAAUGCGCCCCAUUAUUUUUUAGCUCAUUUUUCUGUGGCUAUCCAAUCAUAGCACCUGGUACUUCCUCCAAUAAUGCGAAGUACUUGUUUUUUUGAAGGACUAAUCUACUCCUCAUAGUGAUAGUUUACUUGGUGCACUGAGAAACUAUUCAUUACAGUCAAACGAACCUGAUACUUGUUGUCAUUUAAAUGAAAUUGUGAGGUACAAGUCUGAUGGGUUAGUAUGUUUGGGGUUCAAGUUACGGAAUAAGCAGCAUAUAGGUGAGACUGUGAUUCAAUGGUUAGUAAUGAAUACAUGAACGCUUUUCCAUUUUUGUCUGAUAAAUGAUUUACAUACUUUAUACCUACUGAAUAGGCCAUAGCACUGUGUGUAACCCCUAUGUUUUCCUGUUGUUUGCAUAUCUUGUUAUAUGAUACAUUUAGUUUUUGUUGAAUUACAUGCUUAAAGUUAUGACAAUGUUAAAGGAGUGCCAUAUUUGAAGAAGGUUGACACUUUAUGAUAUGUAAUGGAUAGAUUUUUUUGUAUGUAUCAUCAAUAUAUUUUAUCACCAGUUGUUUGUCAAAUAUCACUUGUUGCUUGCCGUUAUUCUUAUUAUGAUAUUAAAUUGCG